rnacentral:misc_RNA from 1 species
UUAAGUUCAGCGGGUAGUCCUACCUGAUUUGAGAUCAAACGUUCAAAAGGAGCCAUUCCUCACAGAGGAGAGGCCUUUAUGAGCCCCAGUGAACCUCCAUCGCUGAAGGUUACUUGACGGAAUACCACAAGCGUAGAUAGUUAUCACACCUGCGAUGCCACCAAACACUGGCAAGCUGAUUCGUUUAAGAGGAGCUGACC